AUUGAACGCUGGCGGCAGGCUUAACACAUGCAAGUCGAGCGGAGUGAUGGUGCUUGCACUAUCACUUAGCGGCGGACGGGUGAGUAAUGCUUAGGAAUCUGCCUAUUAGUGGGGGACAACAUCUCGAAAGGGAUGCUAAUACCGCAUACGUCCUACGGGAGAAAGCAGGGGAUCACUUGUGACCUUGCGCUAAUAGAUGAGCCUAAGUCGGAUUAGCUAGUUGGUGGGGUAAAGGCCUACCAAGGCGACGAUCUGUAGCGGGUCUGAGAGGAUGAUCCGCCACACUGGGACUGAGACACGGCCCAGACUCCUGCGGGAGGCAGCAGUGGGGAAUAUUGGACGAUGGGGGGAACCCUGAUCCAGCCAUGCCGCGUGUGUGAAGAAGGCCUUAUGGUUGUAAAGCACUUUAAGCGAGGAGGAGGCUCUUUUGGUUAAUACCCAAGAUGAGUGGACGUUACUCGCAGAAUAAGCACCGGCUAACUCUGUGCCAGCCGCCGCCGUAA
rnacentral:rRNA from 1 species